rnacentral:rRNA from 1 species
GACGAACGCUGGCGGCGUGCCUAAUACAUGCAAGUUGAGCGAUGAAGAUUGGUGCUUGCACCAAUUUGAAGAGCAGCGAACGGGUGAGUAACGCGUGGGGAAUCUGCCUUUGAGCGGGGGACAACAUUUGGAAACGAAUGCUAAUACCGCAUAACAACUUUAAACAUAAGUUUUAAGUUUGAAAGAUGCAAUUGCAUCACUAAAAGAUGAUACCGCGUUGUAUUAGCUAGUUGGUGAGGUAAAGGCUCACCAAGGCGAUGAUACAUAGCCGACCUGAGAGGGUGAUCGGCCACAUUGGGACUGAGACACGGCCCAAACUCCUACGGGGUGCAGCAGUAGGGAAUCUUCGGCAAUGGACGAAAGUCUGACCGAGCAACGCCGCGUGAGUGAAGAAGGUUGUCGGAUCGUAAAACUCUGUUGGUAGAGAAGAACGUUGGUGAGAGUGGAAAGCUCAUCAAGUGACGGUAACUACACAGAAAGGGACGGCUAACUACGUG